GGCCGCAAAGCUUCUUCACAU
rnacentral:sRNA from 1 species